rnacentral:rRNA from 1 species
CGGUGACGUUAAGCAAAUCCCAGAAAUAACGUCCCAGUUCGGAUUGUAGUCUGCAACCCGACUACAUGAAGCUGGAAUCGCUAGUAAUCGCGAAUCAGAAUGUCGCGGUGAAUACGUUCCCGGGUCUUGUACACACCGCCCGUCACACCAUGGGAGUCGGAAAUGCCCGAAGUCAGUGACCCAACCGUAAGGAGGGAGCUGCCGAAGGUGGAGCCGGUAACUGGGGUGAAGUCGUAACAAGGUAUC